GAGUUUGAUCCUGGCUCAGGACGAACGCUGGCGGCGUGCCUAACACAUGCAAGUCGAACGGGACCAGGGGCAACUCUGGUUCAGUGGCGGACGGGUGCGUAACACGUGAGGAACAUGACCUUCGGCGGGGGAUAGCCGGCCCAACGGCCGGGUAAUACCGCGUACGACCAUUUAGGGACAUCCCUGGGUGGUGAAAGCAGCAAUGCGCCGAAGGAGUGCCUCGCGGCCUAUCAGCUAGUUGGUGAGGUAACGGCUCACCAAGGCGACGGCGGGUAGCUGGUCUGAGAGGAUGGCCAGCCACAUUGGGACUGAGACACGGCCCAGACUCCUACGGGAGGCAGCAGUGGGGAAUAUUGCGCAAUGGACGAAAGUCUGACGCAGCAACGCCGCGUGCAGGAGGAAGGUCUUCGGACUGUAAACUGCUUUUAUCUGUGACGAUUAUGACGGUAGCAGAAGAAUAAGGAUCGGCUAACUCCGUGCCAGCGGCCGCGGUCAAACGGGGGAUCCAAGCGUUAUCCGGAAUUACUGGGCGUAAAGAGUUGCGUAGGUGGCAUAGUAAGCAGGCAGUGAAAGGUCCCGGCUCAACCGGGGAUACAUUGUCUGAACUGCUAAGCUAGAGCAUGAGAGAGGUAACUGGAAUUCCUAGUGUAGGAGUGAAAUCCGUAGAUAUUAGGAGGAACACCGAUGGCGUAGGCAGGUUACUGGCUCAUUGCUGACACUAAGGCACGAAAGCGUGGGGAGCGAACGGGAUUAGAUACCCCGGUAGUCCACGCCGUAAACGAUGGAUGCUAGCUGUUAUGAGUAUCGACCCUCGUAGUAGCGAAGCUAACGCGUUAAGCAUCCCGCCUGUGGAGUACGAGCGCAAGCUUAAAACAUAAAGGAAUUGACGGGGACCCGCACAAGCGGUGGAGCGUGUUGUUUAAUUCGACGAUAAGCGAAGAACCUUACCAAGGCUUGACAUCUCUGGAAUUUCUCCGAAAGGAGAGAGUGCUUUUAGAACCAGAAGACAGGUGAUGCAUGGCCGUCGUCAGCUCGUGUCGUGAGAUGUUUGGUUAAGUCCAUUAACGAGCGCAACCCUUGUAGUUAGUUGAAUUUUUCUAGCUAGACUGCCCCGGUAACGGGGAGGAAGGAGGGGAUGAUGUCAGGUCAUUAUUUCCCUUACGCCUUGGGCCACAAACACGCUACAAUGGCCGGUACAAAGGGCAGCUAAGCAGCAAUGCGGAGCAAAUCCCAUCAAAGCCGGUCUCAGUUCGGAUUGAAGGCUGAAACUCGCCUUCAUGAAGCGGAAUCGCUAGUAA
rnacentral:rRNA from 1 species